UACGUAGGUGGCAAGCGUUAUCCGGAUUUACUGGGUGUAAAGGGCGUGUAGGCGGGACUGCAAGUCAGAUGUGAAAACCACGGGCUCAACCUGUGGCCUGCAUUUGAAACUGUAGUUCUUGGGUACUGGAGAGGCAGACGGAAUUCCUAGUGUAGCGGUGAAAUGCGUAGAUAUUAGGAGGAACACCAGUGGCGAAGGCGGUCUGCUGGACAGCAACUGACGCUGAGGCGCGAAAGCGUGGGGAGCAAACAGG
rnacentral:rRNA from 1 species